rnacentral:rRNA from 1 species
AACGAACGCUGGCGGCAGGCUUAACACAUGCAAGUCGAACGCCCCGCAAGGGGAGUGGCAGACGGGUGAGUAACGCGUGGGAACAUACCCUUUUCUACGGAAUAGCUCUGGGAAACUGGAAUUAAUACCGUAUACGCCCUACGGGGGAAAGAUUUAUCGGGGAAGGAUUGGCUCGCGUUGGAUUAGCUAGUUGGUGGGGUAAAGGCCUACCAAGGCGACGAUCCAUAGCUGGUCUGAGAGGAUGAUCAGCCACAUUGGGACUGAGACACGGCCCAAACUCCUACGGGAGGCAGCAGUGGGGAAUAUUGGACAAUGGGCGCAAGCCUGAUCCAGCCAUGCCGCGUGAGUGAUGAAGGCCUUAGGGUUGUAAAGCUCUUUCACCGAUGAAGAUAAUGACGGUAGUCGGAGAAGAAGCCCCGGCUAACUUCGUGCCAGCCGCCGCAGUAAGAC